UAAACCUCACCAUAUGUUUAUCUAAUACUUCCCAUUUCCUUGAUAUCUGAGUAGGAGGUUGGUGAAGAGGAGAAGAAGAAACGCAAGAGAAUAAAGACAAGGCGACCCAGGAGCAAUGGAGAGGUGGAGACGGGUGUGAAGAGAUUAGCCAAGAAGGUGAAGGUAUCAGGAGAGGGGACAUCAGGAGCUGGAACUUCUUCUCAAGCAGAUGCCAACAGCAGACUUGCUAUGCCUGCCAUGGAGGGCAUACAGCACAGUCAAUGCACCACCUGCAAUCUUGUGUUCACUAUGCCAGAGUUGUUAAAAAUUCACCAGCACACGCACGAAGGGGCACAGAUGCAGGAGGGCGAUGAUGCCCUGGGGAAAAUGAAGCUGGAGGAGAAGGCAUGUCCUCAGUGCUUCAAGGUUUGUAAU
rnacentral:lncRNA from 1 species